rnacentral:misc_RNA from 1 species
CUGAGUUGCAAAACUCCCCAACCCAUGUGAAUUCAUACCUGUUCUCUCGGCCGGCGCCCUUGGAGGGCCCUGCCGCAGGCUUCGGCCUGCGGGCCGGCCGAGGGGUCACACUCUGAAAACACGCUCUGAGUACCUACAAAAUAAGUCA